UGGGGAAUCUUCCGCAAUGGACGAAAGUCUGACGGAGCAACGCCGCGUGAGUGAAGACGGCCUUCGGGUUGUAAAGCUCUGUGAUCCGGGACGAAAGAGCCUGAGGUAAAUAGCCUAAGGAAGUGACGGUACCGGAAAAGCAAGCCACGGCUAACUACGUGCCAGCAGCCGCGGUAAUACGUAGGUGGCAAGCGUUGUCCGGAAUUAUUGGGCGUAAAGCGCGCGCAGGCGGCUUACUAAGUCCAUCUUAAAAGUGCGGGGCUUAACCCCGUGAUGGGAUGGAAACUGGAAAGCUGGAGUAUCGGAGAGGAAAGUGGAAUUCCUGGUGUAGCGGUGAAAUGCGUAGAGAUUAGGAAGAACACCGGUGGCGAAGGCGACUUUCUGGACGAAAACUGACGCUGAGGCGCGAAAGCGUGGGGAGCAAACAGG
rnacentral:rRNA from 1 species